rnacentral:rRNA from 1 species
AAAACUUUCAACAACGGAUCUCUUGGUUCUGGCAUCGAUGAAGAACGCAGCGAAAUGCGAUAAGUAAUGUGAAUUGCAGAAUUCAGUGAAUCAUCGAAUCUUUGAACGCACAUUGCGCCCUCCGGUCAUUCCGGGGGGCAUGCCUGUUCGAGCGUC